rnacentral:rRNA from 1 species
AUUGAACGCUGGCGGCAGGCCUAACACAUGCAAGUCGAACGGUAACAGGAAACAGCUUGCUGUUUCGCUGACGAGUGGCGGACGGGUGAGUAAUGUCUGGGAAACUGCCUGAUGGAGGGGGAUAACUACUGGAAACGGUAGCUAAUACCGCAUAACGUCGCAAGACCAAAGAGGGGGACCUUCGGGCCUCUUGCCAUCGGAUGUGCCCAGAUGGGAUUAGCUAGUAGGUGGGGUAACGGCUCACCUAGGCGACGAUCCCUAGCUGGUCUGAGAGGAUGACCAGCCACACUGGAACUGAGACACGGUCCAGACUCCUACGGGAGGCAGCAGUGGGGAAUAUUGCACAAUGGGCGCAAGCCUGAUGCAGCCAUGCCGCGUGUAUUAAGAAGGCCUUCGGGUUGUAAAGUACUUUCAGCGGGGAGGAAGGGAGUAAAGUUAAUACCUUGGCUCAUUGACGUUACCCGCAGAAGAAGCACCGGCUAACUCCGUG